UUUUUUUUUUUUUUGGCUUUUUAAGGCUGUACCCAUGGCAUAUGGGAGGUUCCAGGGCUAGGGAUCGAAUUGGAGCUACAACUGCCGGCCUAUGCCACAGCCACAGCCACAGCAACUCGGGAUCUGAGCCACAUCUGCAACCUACACCACAGCUCACGGCAACGCUGGAUCCCCGACCCACUGAGUGAGGCCAGGGUGAGUUAAAGGAUCCCAUGUGGCUGUAGCUGUGGCAUAGUUUGCAGAUGUGGCUUGGAUUCAGUCCCUGGCCCAGGAACUUCCAUAUGCCCCAAGUGCAGCCAUAAAAUUAAAAACAAAAAUCUCCUUGAGGUAAAAAAUAUGUUUAUCUGUAUUGGAAAAAAAGUCAGAGACAGCCAGAGAGAGACUGGCAUAAGGAUAUGAACUAGUAAAUAGAGCAGAGGUCCACCUGGGGGGUAGGAUUACGGCAAAGUUUUCUGUUAUUUUUUUGCUCAUGUGCAUGCUCUAAAUAUUCAUGGUUAGCAAUACUUUUUUAACAGGGAAAGGUUAUUAAAGAGAGAGAUAUAACUCUCAUGGCAUUAUCUUACUCUGCUUAAUAUUCACUCAUUGAAAAAUACACUGUUGGGAGUUCCCGUUGUGAUGCAGUGGAAACGAAUCUGACUAGUAUCCAUGAGGAAGCAGGUUCAAUCCCUGGCCUCACUCAGUGGGUUAAGGAUCCGGCAUUGCCGUGAGCUGUGGUGUAGUUUGAAGAUGCGGCUCAGAUCCCAUGUUGCUGUGGCUGUGGUGUAGGCCGGCAUCUGUAGCUCCAUUCCGACCCCUAGCCUGGGAACUUCCAUAUGCAACUGGAGCCGGUGCAGCCCUAAAAAGUUUAAAAAAUUUAAAAAAUGAGAGAAAGAAAGAAAAUACAUUGCUGAAAACUAGUGAACCCAACGAAAAAGAAGCAGACUCGCAGAUACAGAGAACAAAGGAGUGGUUACUGGUGGGGAGAGGGAAUUGGGGAAGGGCCAUCUAGGGGUGCGGGGGGUGAAAUACAAUACUGGGUGUAAGACGGGCUCAAGCAGGUCUUAUACCACAUGGGGAAUACAGCUAGUAUUCUGUAAUAACUGUAAAUAGAAAGUAACCUUUAAAAACUGCAUAAAAUUUUUUUAAAAUUUUAAGAAAAAAUACAUUGUUGAGAGUCCGCUAAAGUACUGGAGGGCAGCUACCGAGACAGUAAGAUUUAGACCCAGCCUGGAGAAGUUCAAUGGACUCAGAGAGGGAGGUGUGGUAGGGAGGAGGUCCUUACAGGCUGAUCUGGGCUGAGGCAGGGAAGAGCUCAAGGGAUAGGCAUGUAAUCCAGACCCACAGUCAGGGAGCAGAGAAGAGGCCCAGCAGAUGACACCAGAAACUGAGGCUUGAAAGGGACACAUGGGAUUGGAACAACAUUGUACAUUAACUAUAUUUUAAUUAAAAAAAGAUGUAUGAAAGAAAGAAGAAAAGCAAAAAAAGAAAGUGACAUACAGUGGCUUCGCCCUUGUCCUUUAUCUGCUGCCACAUUAUUCAUGCUUGAAAGGCACCAAACACAUUUUGGUCCUGUGUGUGCCCCCAAAUCCCUAACACAUGCUGUUGAUCCCACGGGGUCCCGAUUGAAUGACUGGUGAGUGGAUGGAUGGAUUAAUGGGGGUGGGGCAGGGAGUGACUGAGGAUGGUGACAAUUUUUCAAGCCCUGCUAGAACAGUUAAGGGCCUCUCUUCACAGGCUCCCUGGAAAUGAACCUCAACAGUUUUCCCCGGGCGGCUAAGUCUGCCAAAGCCUGCGAUCUCACCAAGUUUGAAAAUGCAAGCGAGGAGAACAAGAUUUCCAUAUUCCAGCAAAAGCGUGUGCGGGGCUGGUGGCCUUUCUCUAAAAGCAAAGAACUCACGGUAUGUGACAGCUAUAGGGGAUGGGGCAGGGGUGGGGCAGGAAGAGGACCUCAUGUUCUUUAUUUUUUUUAAUGUGGUUUAUUUAUUUUUAUUUUUUAUUAAAGUAUAGUUGAUUGACAGUGUUGUGUCAAUUUCAGCUGUAUAGCAAAGUGACCCAGUCAUACACUCAUGUUCUUGAAGUGAGUCAUCUUGUAAAUCUCAAGUCGAGUGCCUUGAAAUGACAUAGAGCCCUUUAGGGCAACGGUUCUGAGAAGCGAGAAUUUUGAAAAAUUUAUCAAUGCAUUAAGCCUUCCAUAUUUCAGCAUAUUUGAUUUAAUAGCUGUCGAUGGCGGGAUGGGUUUCUAUCCUCUUGGCUUGAAUGUCUGCCCCUGGCAGUAAUUUUUUUCAACAUUUCUUGAAAUUACACACAAGGUCCUUACUAAUGUGCAAUUUUAAUGCCACUGCUUCAUCCCUUCACCCUCAGAUGAGACUCAAUUUAAAAAGUGAUCUGUCCUUGAACCACUCCCUCGAGAGGAUGCUCGAGCUGAGACGAGAGCCAUUUACCCCUCUCCCUGCCUUGCCAGCUUGGUCCCUCCCAUAUGGCACAUGCUGCAGGAAUUCAGACCUUUCACAAAGAGUGGGAAGAAAGUUUCUCCUGCUCUUUCUUUCAGCCCCUCAUUGCUCCUUUGUAAGGGAGAGUGGCGGACUCUAGUGAUCAGUGAGGCUGAGAAAAAGGACGGGGACUGCAGAGGUGGCCUCUUUUCUCUGCUGUCCUCCUUUGAGGCAGGUGCGUUCUUUCUGCUGCUCCUAGUGCCCAGUGGCAAAGGCGAGCCCAGGUCAGGACCAUAGCAGGUCUGGAUAGAGACCCAUUUCUCUGGCUGGCUGGCUAGGGGCUCAGUGGGUGCAGGACAGGGAUUCCCUUCGAACCUAACUGGGUAAAUGGCAGCUGCUGGCUUGCCUCCAUGGUGUCUAGUUUUCGUGUGUUUUCUAGGAGGUUUUCUCUUCCCACCACUCUCAAUUCAACCCCCUCUAGGUGAGAUUAGAUCAAGAGAACGAGGUGCCAGGCAAGCCCACUCUCCUUACUCCUCCCAAGUUCAUAAUUAGGGCUUACUACACGCAGCCUAUAUACUCCGUUCCAGACUUCAUCUUAACCAUUGAGCCUCCCUUAAUAGAUUUCAACCAGUGAAGUGAUUGAUGAAUGGAUGAGUUUAGAUAUGAAGUAAGCAUGGUCUCUACUCUCAACCAGCUCAGAGUCCAGGGAGAGGCACGAUGCAUCAACAGUCCAGUCCCCAUGAAACAAAAUGUAAAUGAUACGGGGAAGGAUGAGAGGAGGGGAAGAUUAGUUCUCUCUGAGGAUGCUGAGGGGCCAAGCAGGGCAGAGCAUGAAUUUUUCAAGAACAAAGGAUGAUAAAGGCAUUUUCUAGAUGAAGCAAAGGAUGCAUGGCUACUCCCAGUAGAGGAACUAUGAUGAGCGUGAUGAGCCUGGAGUGGCUAACUGCCCACUGGUCAGAGGUGUCAGAAUGUAAUAGGAGUCAGGAAAUGAGAGUUGCCAAGUCCUGAAUUCGAAUUCUUAUUCUUUGAUAUAAUUCCUUCUCCUACCCAAUAAAUGGCAGUGAUUAUGUAUAGAUGACAUAAUGGCAGGUAUCUAUUACAUUUUUAUAGCCCUUCAGCGUUUGCAAAAUAUAUUCAGACCCCUCCUGUUAUUUCAUUCGAUCCUAAUAGACUCUUUUCCAUGUCAUUUAUUUAUUUCUUCAUUGCCUUCAACAAAUAUUUAUUGAGCAUCUAUUAAAUAAUAGGCCCUGAGACAAAAUAUGAGACAUACAGACAUAGUCUCUGCCAGCAUGGGGCUUAGAGUCCAGUGUCAAAGAGAGACACACAGGGAAGAUAGAAGGACACACAUAAGUGCACAGUCACACCGAGAAACCAAAUUCUUAAAACAGGGGCUGGGAAGUGCUACAGCAAAGCCAAUCCAAGGCAGAUAUUUCCAUCCAUAUGGUAGCUGGAAGCCUUUCUGCAGCUUUGCAGUUGAGACCUAAAGAAGGAAAAGUCAAGAGCCAUCUGUAGAAAAAUGGGAAGGAGGGCAUUGGUCACCAAGUAAAGACCGCAGGCAAAGGUCCUGGGGUGAGAAUGAGUUCAGGGUGUAGGAGAAACUAAAAUACAUACACACACACACACACACACACACACACACACACCCACACACACACCUCCCACAACUGGAUGAUGUUGGGGAAGUGGAGGGGAAACGAGAGCUAUGGCCUAAUAGGAGAGGAGACAGGAAGAUUUUAAUGAUGGCGGGUCAGAGGAUGCAGAGAAGUUGCUUUGAGACACAGUGGUGAGCCGACGAAGCAGUAUUUUGGUUGUGACCGUCUGUUUUCUCCGAGCACAUUAAGGAUUUCGCAGGGGCGAAGACCGAGGAAUGGAGAAGCAGACGGCCUGGGUCUGAGUCCUGUUCUCUCCUGACUAGUUGUGUGACAUGACACAAGUUACGCUGGGCCUCAGCUUCCACAUCUACAAAAUGGGGAUUGAUAAUAUGUACAUAUCCCAUGGGGUUUUUAGCAAAUAAAUGAAUUAAUGUACAGUAAGUGUUCAGAACUCUGGAAAGAAACAAGACUACCCAGGAGAGGACAAGUGGAGGCUAUUUAUGUAGACCUCACUAUAGCGAAGGAGUCAGCCCCUAUCACUUGUGCUUGCCUGUGUCUGGGAACAGGGAAGCUUUAGAGUGAAAAGAAGGGAAGGCUUCAGGUUUGUUCUGACUGGCGGUUGUUGGCCUGAGAAAGCUGGGGGCAGAGUAGCAAGGAGGGGGGCAGCCUAUGU
rnacentral:lncRNA from 1 species